rnacentral:lncRNA from 1 species
UCCUCCCCUCCUUGAUUUCUCCCUCUUCUCCGAUUUUUCCCCCCAUUCUCUCUAGUUUUUCCCUCCUUUCUUGCUUCUUCUUUCUAUUCUUAAAUUCGUCUUGCAUCAGAUUCUCUAAAUAUUUUUUAGUUUUUGCUUAAUUCUUGUUUCAAAAAUUUCAAUUCCGCACCAGUUUUGUUUAGAAGGGGGAGAAUUUCUUAAAAAGAAUGCUGAAUUUUGGUUAAUAGAUCCUAUUAGGCCGAGAAGGAAUCUUUGGAUAAUAAUCAAGUGGCAAUGGGAAUACCAUUGAAGAAUGAUUUGGGGAAGUACAUUUAGGUGGAGAUAAGUUUGAGGCAGAAGGAAAGAGGUAAAUGGUGAGAGAGGAGUACAUCAACUUUUAAGUUUUUGUGUGGCUGGUUAAAGUCAUAGAUGUUGGAGUACUUUAGAGGAUCACCUAUGUGGAGCAAGAAUAGAUUUUAUAUGACUGCAUAAAGAGGAAAUGAGUGUGGGGCUUAUGCUUGAGAGUUAAGAGUGGCGACCUAUUUCCCGAAAUAGAGGAUUUGAGGAAAAGCUAUGUUUGAGAUGGAUAAAGA